rnacentral:tRNA from 1 species
GCCUUCGUGGUGUAGUGGUCAGCACGCUCGACGCGUAACCGAGAGGUCCGGGGUUCGAUUCCCAGCUAAAGCC